rnacentral:rRNA from 1 species
GACGAGCGCUGGCGGCGUGCUUAACACAUGCAAGUCGGACGGAAAGGCCCUGCUUUUGUGGGGUGCUCGAGUGGCGAACGGGUGAGUAACACGUGAGUAACCUGCCCUUGACUUUGGGAUAACUUCAGGAAACUGGGGCUAAUACCGGAUAGGAGCUCCUGCUGCAUGGUGGGGGUUGGAAAGUUUCGGCGGUUGGGGAUGGACUCGCGGCUUAUCAGCUUGUUGGUGGGGUAGUGGCUUACCAAGGCUUUGACGGGUAGCCGGCCUGAGAGGGUGACCGGCCACAUUGGGACUGAGAUACGGCCCAGACUCCUACGGGAGGCAGCAGUGGGGAAUAUUGCACAAUGGGCGGAAGCCUGAUGCAGCAACGCCGCGUGCGGGAUGACGGCCUUCGGGUUGUAAACCGCUUUCGCCUGUGACGAAGCGUGAGUGACGGUAAUGGGUAAAGAAGCACCGGCUAACUACGUG